UACGUAGGGAGCAAGCGUUGUCCGGAAUCAUUGGGCGUAAAGCGCGCGUAGGUGGCCCGGUAAGUCCGCUCUGAAAGUCACAGGCUCAACCUGUGAAAGCGGGUGGAUACUGCCGGGCUAGAGUCCGGAAGAGGCGAGUGGAAUUCCUGGUGUAGCGGUGGAAUGCGCAGAUAUCAGGAGGAACACCAACGGCGAAGGCAGCUCGCUGGGACGGUACUGACGCUGAGGCGCGAAAGCGUGGGGAGCGAACAGG
rnacentral:rRNA from 1 species